GGAGAGGUGUCCGAGUGGCUUAAGGAGCACGCUUGGAAAGCGUGUGUGCUGGGAACGGUACCGUGGGUUCGAAUCCCACCCUCUCCG
rnacentral:tRNA from 1 species